UACGUAGGUGGCAAGCGUUGUCCGGAUUUACUGGGCGUAAAGGAUGCGUAGGCGGAUAUUUAAGCCAGAUGUGAAAUACCCGAGCUUAACUUGGGUGCUGCAUUUGAAACUGGAUAUCUAGAGUGUGGGAGAGGAAAGUGGAAUUCCUAGUGUAGCGGUGAAAUGCGUAGAGAUUAGGAAGAACACCAGUGGCGAAGGCGACUUUCUGGACCAUAACUGACGCUGAGGCAUGAAAGCGUGGGGAGCAAACAGG
rnacentral:rRNA from 1 species